GCGAAAUGCGAUAAGUAAUGUGAAUUGCAGAAUUCCGUGAAUCAUCGAAUCUUUGAACGCACAUUGCGCCCUCUGGCAUUCCGGGGGGGAUGCCUGUCCGAGCGUCAUUACGCACCCUCAAGCCCGGCUUGUGUGAUGGGCCCCGGCGUCUCGUUCGCGAGACGGGCCCGAAAGGCAGCGGCGGCGUCGACCCGAUGAGCCCGAGCGUAUGGGGACUUCUGUCACACGUUCGCGGUGCGGACCGGCGCCUGCUUGACUUUUCUGAUUAUCCAGGUUGACCUCGGAUCAGGUAGGGAUACCCGCUGAACUUAA
rnacentral:misc_RNA from 1 species